UACGUAGGGUGCAAGCGUUGUCCGGAAUUAUUGGUCGUAAAGAGCUCGUAGGCGGUUUGUCGCGUCGAAUGUGAAAACCCGGGGCUCAACUCCGGGCCUGCAUUCGAUACGGGCAGACUAGAGUUCGGUAGGGGAGACUGGAAUUCCUGGUGUAGCGGUGAAAUGCGCAGAUAUCAGGAGGAACACCGGUGGCGAAGGCGGGUCUCUGGGCCGAUACUGACGCUGAGGAGCGAAAGCGUGGGGAGCGAACAGG
rnacentral:rRNA from 1 species